GCAUCAUAUGAGAAUGCAGCUUACCUUAAAGGUCUAAUUACAAAUCAAUGGAAGAUGCAAUUCGUGGGAUUUUAUGACUGCUGGAAUGAUUUUCAAGAAAAGGCGACGACUCAACUCUUGGUUCUCUUGGACAAGCAUGAGGAGCGCGACACUUACGUGGUGGCUUUCCGAGGAACGGAACCCUUUGAUGCAGAUGCAUGGUGCACUGACCUUGACAUCUCGUGGUAUGGGAUUCCGGGCAUUGGAAAAAUGCAUGGUGGCUUUAUGAAAGCCUUAGG